rnacentral:rRNA from 1 species
AUGCAAGUCGAGCGGAACCCUUCGGGGUUCAGCGGCGGACGGGUGAGUAACACGUGGAUAACCUACCCUCUGUUCCGGGAUAACAGGCCGAAAGGCCUGCUAAUACGGGAUAAGCUCACGGCCCUGCAUGGGGCUGGGAGAAAAGGUGCUGCAAGGCAGUGACAGAGGAGGGGUCCGCGUCCCAUUAGCUAGUUGGGGGGGUAACGGCCCACCAAGGCGACGAUGGGUAGCCGGCCUGAGAGGGCGACCGGCCACACUGGGACUGAGACACGGCCCAGACUCCUACGGGAGGCAGCAGUCGGGAAUUUUGCACAAUGGCCGAAAGGCUGAUGCAGCAACGCCGCGUGAGUGAAGAAGGCCUUCGGGUUGUAAAGCUCUGUUGCCCGUGAAGAACGGCUUGGGGAGGAAAUGCCCUGGGUUUGACGGUAGCGGGAGAGGAAGCCCCGGCAAACUACGUGCCAGCAGCCGCGGUAAUACGUAGGGGGCGAGCGUUGUCCGGAUUUAUUGGGCGUAAAGGGCGUGUAGGCGGCCUGAUAAGUCAGGGGUGAAACCCCGGGGCUCAACCCCGGGCAUGCCUCUGAUACUGUUGGGCUUGAGUGCUCUAGAGGGUAGUGGAAUUCCCGGUGUAGCAGUGAAAUGCGUAGAGAUCGGGAGGAACACCAGUGGCGAAGGCGACUGCCUGGGGAGUAACUGACGCUGAGGCGCGAAAGCUAGGGGAGCGAACAGGAUUAGAUACCCUGGUAGUCCUAGCCGUAAACGAUGAGUGCUAUGUGUGAGGGGUAUCGACCCCCCUCGUGCAGCAGUUAACGCAAUAAGCACUCCGCCUGGG